rnacentral:lncRNA from 1 species
UCAAAAGUUAUAAGCAAGUAAUUUGUAUGCUCAGUAGUUAGCAAUCAUUUUACCUUCGUUGCUUUGUGAUGCCUGUCGUCUUGGUUGAUUACCGAACGGAUGUGAAACAAUAUGUCCUUGAAGAUAAGAACACGCUGAAAGCUCUCACUAGAAGGAUUUCGCAACCGAAGAGAAAGCGCUUGAAAUGAUGCAGAUUGUCUUCCUCUUUAUACGUCCUUCAGAGCCCAUAUACACAAGCGGAAAUAUUGGGUUGGCCCGUUGUAACAUUUACUCAUUUUUCCGCUGGAGGGCAGUCAAUUGAAAUGGCGCUCUCCAAACAGGAACGCAGCUGGUGUGUGUUAGAUUUCCACACAAUGAAGAAUGUUGUUUCUGUUCAACGCGCGUUCAGACACAAAUUUGAUGUGGAACCACCUUCGAACAAGUCAAUUUUGAAGUGGUUGAUGGAUUUCGUCGAAGAAAGAUGCAUCUGUGACAAGCGGAAAGGCCGCUCUGGCCGACCAACAGUCCCGCUGUAAUUUAUUGAUCGUGUGAGGGAAACUUUUCUCUGGAGCCCCAAAAAGUCAGUGCGAAGAGCGAGUAGAGAACUAGAAACCCCCAAAAGUACGAUUAGCAAGAUGUUACGAAAACGUUUGCACUUUCAUCCAUAUAAACUGCAAUUGGUGCAGAAGUUAAAACCUGAAGACCAUGCAAGGCGACAGCAGUUCUGUUCGGAUCUCCAGCAGUUACUGGAAAAUGAUGACAAUCUUCUGUCGAAAAUCAUUUUGAGUGAUGAAGCAACCUUCUACCCGCAUGGUAAGGUAAACAGAUACAAUGUGGUGAUAUGGGGGGGAUCAGAAAAUCCCCACACCAUGCUGGAGAUACAACGUUAUUCUCCUAAGUGUAAUGUGUUUUGUGCCAUAUCAGAACAGAGAGUUUAUAAGGUAUUUCUCCCGCCUUCUAGCAUGCCUUCGUGGUGUAAUCGGAAGCAUACUCGACGAGUAUUCGGGAGGUCCAUGGUUCGAGUCCCUGAGAGAUUGCUCACUUUUCACGUAUCGUGCUUGGAACAAUGUCCUAAUGUUUCUACAAGUUUACAAGUUAUUAUUUUUCUUUGAAGGUGAAACUGUGUCCGGUGACAGUUACAUGGAUAUGUUACGGAACUGGUUGAUGCCUGAACUUACAAAGGUAGGUGUUCAACACGAUGGGGCAGCACUGCACUGGCAUCAUAAUGUUUCUAACUUUCUCAAUGACGUCCUGCCAAAGAGAUGGAUUGGUCGUGUUGGAAUCAAUUACGUGUGUGUACGUCCUCCCCCAGCUCCAUCCAUGGAAAUUCUGCAGGACAGAAUCACAGAAGCUUUAAACACAAUCACGUCGGAUAUUCUUUUCAGAGUAUGGAAUGAGCUCGAUUAUCGCCUAGCUGUUUGUCGUGUUACAGGUUGAACACACAUUGAAUGCCUGUAAUGAACAUAUAUCACAUGAAACUUUGAGUUGUUACACGUUUACCCAAAAAAUAAACACAAUAUUUCCCAAGGUUUUCAUUUUAUAACCAAAUAAAAUCGAGGAGUGUUUUUGUGCAUA